AGUUCGAUGAAUUUUAUAUGAAGUUUUGGAUUUUCUUAGUAGCUUCUGCUGGAGACCGGAGUCUAAACACGUUGAUGGUCUAGUAGCAGCCGUAGUUUUGAAAUUACGUGCUGGAAACAGAGAGUGAGCCACUGGCGAUGACCCUAUAUGACCCCGGAAGCGAAAUGUUAUUCAGAAAUUCAGAUAAAUUUCAGCUUCGAAAAUUUGAUUGGUUUUGGGUAAGAAAUUUUCAAUUUCAGUUCCAAACCAAUCAAAUUUUCGAAAAUUUAGUAGGGAAUGAUGUAGCAGUACCAUCAGUACAACCCUCUGCCGCAAGAUCGGCAGACAGAAAAGAUGAAUUCGCCAAUAUUUUAGCGUGCCAUAAUUAUGGUUGGCUUAUCUUCUCGCGCUACGCCUCGACCUAAUUAUGUCAUGGGUUGAGCGCCACCCCUUAUGGGAGACUUUCAAAAUACUUUGCCUUGACCUGUUAUGAGAUCCGCACAAGAAGGAAGAAUCUUCAGAUGCUAAAGUUUGCGACAAGAGCACUUUUUUGACUCGAACGGGAGGUCGAUGCACUCUAGUUCGGCAGUCAGAGAUUGCAAAUUCUUAAGAGAUGCUUCGGCUAAACUCGCACAAUUAUUGCAAUUGUAAUGUUGCUCGAGUUCUAGAGAACCGAAGUUGUUCUAAUUGCACCUCUACUGAGGGUUCUAGAACUUCGACUCGGUCACUUUUACCCUGAUCGUGGAGGAAGCAGGAGUGGUCGAAGGACCGUUUGGAAUCGUUUUUUUGGAAGUUAGUUUAAAGUCGUGGAAGUGUUUCAGUGGCAGAGGUUAAUUCUGCGAUUUUAUUUCUAGAGCUCGCGGCUAGGUAGAGUUAGGAGUAGGGUAGUGGCGGAACCGUUUGAAACCCUGAUACUCCAGGUGGCAACCGGCAUCAUCCGUAGCAGAGCGACCACUCCAACCGACAACCCAGCGCUUCUGGACUCCACCAAGGGGUCGAAGUUCCGGGGUGAACCCCCAAGCAGCUCGUCCGUCAACACACGAGCUGGGCGGCGUCCGUCAACACACGCCGCGGUCGAACCCUCGAUCCAACCGACCGAACCGGAACGGCCUCGUGGAGGCCUAGGUACACCGCCAAGUUCCCGCGCGCAUCCGCGCCGUCGUCGCAACCGACGCUAUCAUCGCAGCAUCCUAGCUGCACACCUGUGCGCCCCCGCACACCGGAAGUGAUGCUGAGCACCCGCCGAUAGUGCCAACCCGUCUGCUGUUAGCCGCCGGCGGAACCAUCUCGCCGUAGCCGAAGCUGUAAGCGCGCCACCACCUGAUCGCCGGAUCGCCAACCAACACACGUAAAUCCAUGGUCGUGUAAGUACAAACCCUUUUUCGACAUGCGCAUGAUCGAUCGUUGGCCAGUUCUUUUUCCGCCAACCCCGUGGGCAACAUAAGCCACCCCCAUGUUAUGUUGCGUGAUCGCAAGCCCCCAGUGAAUGAAUUAUAGCGACCCCGAAUGAAUUUCGCCCCCCAAGCCAACGCACACCCUAGCCAAGCAGUGCACUGCAAAUGAACAGGUAGAGAGACAGGAAAACUCGAGUGGUACCGAGGUACCGUGUAGGACUAACAUGCUGAAGAUCUGCGGAUCGAAUCUCGUAGGGCCCGAAGUAUUUUUUUGUAAUUAAAUAAAAU